GGGGCUUCCAACCAACCCAGGAGCUCUCUCCCACUUUAAUGUUUAGACUGGAGGAAGCCGCGCUUGAAAAUCAGGACUGGAGCUGAGGGUGGAGCUACACGGUGGCAUAACGUGGCAUCCCAAGGACUUGAGUGAUAACCAGGACAUUUUGUAACCACAUCUUAUCCAAGGCGGCUCCAUUCAUUCUGUGUGACUGCGGCUGCUGCAGGGGAAGCCAGGGGCUGCUGAGGAGCAGGAGGAGGAGGAGGAUGCUGGAGCUGUGUGUGCAUGGGAGAGCGUGGGCCCGGCGCUCCUCUCAGCGGGCCAACAAAAGGAGCUGCAGAGCAGGGCCUCCAGCAGCUUGGGAAUCAGCGUCCAACUGUGAGCCAAGAAGCAGAGCUAAUGGGAGAGUGGACUAUCCCACCUCUGCAGAGCUGGAGCUAUAACCAUAAAGGAAAUAAAAGAGCA